rnacentral:rRNA from 1 species
AGCAGUCGCCGCGGUAAUACGUAGGUGGCGAGCGUUGUCCGGAAUCAUUGGGCGUAAAGGGAGCGCAGGCGGGCAAGUAAGUCUUUCUUAAAAGUUCGGGGCUCAACCCCGUGAUGGGAAAGAAACUACAUGUCUUGAGUACAGGAGAGGAAAGCGGAAUUCCCAGUGUAGCGGUGAAAUGCGUAGAUAUUGGGAGGAACACCAGUGGCGAAGGCGGCUUUCUGGACUGCAACUGACGCUGAGGCUCGAAAGCCAGGGGAGCGAACGGGAUUAGAUACCCCCGUAGUCCCUGUCUCUUAUACA